rnacentral:ncRNA from 12 species
NNNNNNNNNNNUCUAUGGGUGAAAAGUAUUGCACUUACUGCCCAUGAAAGCAGCCCGUCCCGUCGUCACGGGGCAGAGCGGGCUGCUAGUCACCGCCGCACCGCUAUCUGCGAGGUGCGGCGGCUGGCGAGACCGUCGAAUUGCGGGGACACCCUUAGAGCCUGUGUCACCAACCCGGCGUGGAAACACAGCCGGGGGCCGGGGUAAUUACCUAGGGUAUGGUAAAAGCACACAGGAUUGGGCUAUCCGCAGCCAAGCUCCUAAGGGCCGAGCGAUCGGCCUAGGGAGAAGGUUCAGAGACUAGGUGGCGGUCGGUUCCCAAAGUAUCGCUUGGGGGCUUAAGAUAGAGUCCGACACAGCAGAAAUGCUGCCUCGGGACGAAUGUUUCGAGCAGAAACGGGAGUCCGGGGGAGGGGGAACGCACAGUUGCUCCCCCUUUGAGUAGUCGGGUGGUGCAUGGCCGUUCUUAGUUGGUGGGUUGCCUUGU